UAGGUUAAGCUACUAAGGGCACACGGAGGAUGCCUUGGCGCCAAGAGCCGAUGAAGGACGGGACGAACACCGAUAUGCUUCGGGGAGCUGUAAGUGAGCUUUGAUCCGGAGAUUUCCGAAUGGGGCAACCCACCUGCUUGAAGAGCAGGUAUCGCUAGCUGAAUACAUAGGCUAGUGGAAGGCAUACCGGGGGAACUGAAACAUCUAAGUACCCCGAGGAAGAGAAAGAAAACUCGAUUCCCUGAGUAGCGGCGAGCGAAACGGGAUUAGCCCAAACCGAAGGACUUGUGCCUUCGGGGUUGUAGGACGUCUCACACGGAGUUACAAAGGAUGGGAAUAGGAGAACUGGUUCUGGAAAGACCGGCCAUAGCAGGUAACAGCCCUGUAUCCGAAAU
rnacentral:rRNA from 1 species